GAGGAACCUGUUUUGUAAUCGAUAAUCCACGAUGGACCUUACUUAAAUUUGUAUUCAGUUUAUAUACCGUCGUUAUUAGAAUAUUUUAUAAGAAAGUUAAUUUUCAAGAUUUUUAAAUAGAAAGAAUAUCAGAUCAAGGUGUAGCUUAUGUUUAAGUAAAAAUGGGUUACAAUAAAUUUAUUUAGAUGAAUAUAAAUUUGAAAUGUUUAUUGAAGGUGGAUUUGAUAGUAAAAUUAUAAAGAUAAAUAAUUUGAUUUUAGCUCUAAAAUAUGCACACAUCGCCCGUCACUCUUAUUAUUAAGGUAAGAUAAGUCGUAACAUAGUAGAUGUACUGGAAAGUGUACCUAGAAUGCAAUUUAAAGCUUAUUAAGUAAAGCAUUUCAUUUACAUUGAAAAGAUUUUUGUGCAAAUCAAUAUAAAUUGAUUAUAUUUUAUUUAUUAAUUAAUUUUUUUUUUAUUAUAAAUUAUUAAAAAUAAUUAUUAAUUGAUUUGUUUAAGUAUUUUAUAAAGAAAAAAUAAUUUUAAUUAUAGUUAAAUAGUAUUGUGAAAGAAAAUUGAAAUAA
rnacentral:rRNA from 1 species